GUAGGUGACCUGCGGAGGAU
rnacentral:rRNA from 2 species